rnacentral:lncRNA from 1 species
GAACACUUUCCUUUUUGAUGUCGCUCCCUCUCUUUUUACUUUUCUAUAAUUCUAAAUUUUUAUUUCGCCCAUAAUAAUAAUAAUAAAGCCGUGUCCUGUUUUAAGUAUUUUAACCCUUGAUCACUGAUACCCUGUCCGACUGAUGUAGGGCCCCGUAACGUAUGUCAAGGCUCUGUCUAAAUUCGUUGAGGUUCUGUCUCGUGACGUAUGGAUAAAGUGGAAUUGGGUUACUAUACUUAAUGUGAGUGCACUAUAUAUUUUAUUAAAUAACCCAGGAGUUGUACCAAGAUAUAUCAACCCUCCAAAAAUAUUUCUGACACCCCAAAUAUAAUUAGAAUACCCCUAUAUGUCUUAAAUUAUACCCCGUAUACGAAAACCGGCCCCGGAUAACCUUUAUUUCAUUAAAUAACAAAUAAAAUAAGUUUUUCCAGUCGCUCGCGGGCCGCGAAGGCAUAGCCUUCAGCUUAUGCGGACCGCGACAACUCAACAUCAGGAGAACACUCGGUGCUGCCACGUGUCGAUGACUCAGCACACUCAAACCGCCCUACUAUCUCUCGCGGGGCGCGUAAACCUUCUCUUCGUCUUACGUGGGCCACUACUAGAAAACUAGGCAAUUGUCACCAAAAUUUGCCACCAAAAAAAAUGAUAACAAUUUUAGCCACCAUUUUUCCACCAAAAUACAAAUUUAACCCAUUCACCAUGACACGGUAGCUAAGUGGUGGCAAAUUUUGCAACCUUUUAUUUUCGGUCACAAAUUAGUGAGAAAAGCCACAACUUUAUAAGCGGUGUCUGACUUGCCACCGUAAUAGUGGUGGCAACAUCUAAAAAUUUAGACGGAUUAAAUCUUUUUUAUUAGGCGGGCUGCCGCUAAAUUUUAAUUUAAAUUUCUUAUUGUGCGGCGUUAAUUUCUAAUUAACCGCUCCACAUUCUAGGGUUUUAUAGAAAAAAAAUCCCAAAUCAUAGUGAAGCAUCUUGGCGACUCCUCCUCCCCUCUGAAGAAUAGAUGCUUUGAGUUCAAUCACUACUAGUAUACAAGCAUCGAUCAUCAGGAUUUGUAAAUGAAGAAUGUAAUUGUUUGUUUUGGAGCAAUACACUGGUCAAUCCCUUGUCUUCUCCAAGGAUUGAAAGUUGAACUUGGUUAUCAAGGAGCUUGUUAAGGAAAAAGAUGAAGAAAAAGAAAGCUUAAAUGGAAUUAUUGUGAGGUUGUUGGCUAAAAAGAAAAGGAUAAGGUGGAUAAAGAUGUUAUGCUCAAUAGUCAAUAGGAUGUCACAAAUUGAAGCUAUGAUAACAGCUAUGCUUCGAAGAUAGGCUGUAAACUAAGUUUUGAAUGUUUCAAUAUUAGGAUAAUUUUGGUAUAUAAUGAUUUAGUUUGUAUUUUUAUUAGAAUGUUUAUAUUUUGAAACAGGAAAAACUGAAAUACAUAUGUUUUAUAUAAUAUUGGGAUUUUGUAAUUUUGUUGGAUUGUUUUAUAUAGUUUUGUAAUUUUAUUGAAUUGUAAUUUUGAC